AAUAGAUAUGUAUUAUCUUAAGAAGUUGAUAUUUGUUUAUCUUUCAACUCAAGUGAUGUGUAUUAACUGCUACUAUGCCUAUGAUAAAACUAACUGCUGUUAGUUUCUCUAAUAUGAAUUUUUUGUUGUAGUACAUUUCAUGUGGGGAAAAUAAUACGCAAGUUCUCAAAAAGAAAAAAAGGUGAUUGUGAAGUGCUUCUUUGGGCUUUUUUUUUUUUUUUUGGCAGUAUGAGUUGCUUGACAAUUUGUAGAAUAUCAGCAGCGCGCUUCUUGGUUCUCUGUCCCUCGAGUAAUUCUCAAGGUAAGGAAAUAUAUUCUUUUUGUUUUAUUUUGGCUUCCAAAUUUGAAAGAAAAAUUUUUGUUUCUCAAAAAAAUUAAUUAAAUUAAAUCUUGAAUAUGGAUAUCAUUUUCCUCUUUGAUAUUCUGAUCAAAGUUGUUUAGCGAACUGAUGUAAAGAUUUUUUAUUUUUUAUUUUUUAUUUUUUUACCCUAGAAGGUUUUAGAGAUGGGUUUGCUAAGUAAGUAGUUGAACAUUUGAUUGCAUUUUUGACAAAGUAUACGAGGAUAAUAGGGUUUAAUUCAAGACAUUGAACAAGGAGGUCAAUUGAUGUGCGUUUAUUCACUGAUAAUAGGGUGAGUUGUCUUCAAGAAGUUUUAUUGGAUACAUUUUAGUUGUUGAAAUGCUAUCCCUGUUUGGAAUUUGUUACUUCCA